GAUGAACGCUGGCGGCGUGCCUAAUACAUGCAAGUCGAGCGAACGGACGAGAAGCUUGCUUCUCUGAUGUUAGCGGCGGACGGGUGAGUAACACGUGGAUAACCUACCUAUAAGAAUGGGAUAACUUCGGGAAACCGGAGAUAAUACCGGAUAAUAUUUUGAACCGCAUGGUUCAAAAGUGAAAGACGGUCUUGCUGUCACUUAUAGAUGGAUCCGCGCUGCAUUAGCUAGUUGGUAAGGUAACGGCUUACCAAGGCAACGAUGCAUAGCCGACCUGAGAGGGUGAUCGGCCACACUGGAACUGAGACACGGUCCAGACUCCUACGGGAGGCAGCAGUAGGGAAUCUUCCGCAAUGGGCGAAAGCCUGACGGAGCAACGCCGCGUGAGUGAUGAAGGUCUUCGGAUCGUAAAACUCUUUUAUUAGGGAAGAACAUAUGUGUAAGUAACUGUGCACAUCUUGACGGUACCUACUCAGAAAGCCACGGCUAACUACGUG
rnacentral:rRNA from 1 species